rnacentral:rRNA from 1 species
GAUGAACGCUAGCGGCAGGCUUAACACAUGCAAGUCGAACGGUAACAUUGGUGCUUGCAUCAGAUGACGAGUGGCGAACGGGUGCGUAACGCGUAUGCAACUUACCUCUAACAAAGGAAUAGCUCAGAGAAAUUUGAAUUAAUACCUUAUAAUAACUUAGAUUCGCAUGUUUUUAAGUUUAAAGUAUUUCGGUUAGAGAUGGGCAUGCGUGAUAUUAGCUAGUUGGUAGGGUAAUGGCUUACCAAGGCAACGAUAUCUAGGGGGUCUGAGAGGAUGGUCCCCCACACUGGUACUGAGACACGGACCAG